GUCAUAGCUUGUGGCAUCAAAAAUUCUUAUUCUGUUUGCUAUUGUUUUACUGCAGGGAUUUUGCAUGAUCUUGUCACAGAGUAAUGACUAUGCAACCAUUCCUUUUCUUGCUGAUGUGUUCGAGAGAUAUCAAGACAUGAACUCCGCCAAGAAUGACAACAUGCUGGAAGAGUGUUUGUACCCAUUCCGUCGAACGUAUACCUCAUCCACAAUAAUGUUCAAUUUGCUACACUGAGGGCUAUAAGAUUAUUGGUUCGCAUAGUGGAGUUAAAUUGUGUAGAUGGACCAAAGGCACAGCUUGGAGGGCAUGGUGGCUGCUACAAGCGGACUCAUUUUAUGGCAUAGAGAGUCAUAGGUGACAGUCAAUUGCUUCGUUACGGAAUAUAAUCAAUCAGCAUGCUUUUUGUGACGCCCAUAGUAGGAUGCAUGAUGCUUUUGUGGGUUGUUUGGGUUCCAAGUCAAAGCUUGGCAAUUAGAGAUCUGUAAUUACGUGAUCAUAUUCGGAUUUUUAGUUGCUAUCUCUCUAUCAAGUCUUACCUUAUCCAUUUGUCAUAAUUUUGUGGGAUCAUAUUCAUGACUGCCUUAUGAGAAUGAACAAGUCAUGUAUUGGAAGGGAUAAGGGCCUUUGACUUCCUUUUAAUCUUUGAUUUAGGAGAGUAACGUAGAGCUGGCCUAUUAUAAUCAUCUUCUUUUUUUGUUCUGAAUGAGAGAGGACUAUUGUUGCCCUACUGGUAAUA